rnacentral:antisense_RNA from 1 species
CGUUAUGGCGGCUGUGUGCGGGCAGACUUUUGUCUGGCCGGGUGGCCUAUGACCGGUUUUCUCACCUCGCACAUAGCUGCCACCUCU